CAGUCGCCGCGGUAAUACAGAGGAUGCAAGCGUUGUCCGGAAUUAUUGGGCGUAAAGGGCUCGCAGGCGGUUUCUUAAGUCUGAUGUGAAAGCCCCCGGCUCAACCGGGGAGGGUCAUUGGAAACUGGGAAACUUGAGUGCAGAAGAGGAGAGUGGAAUUCCACGUGUAGCGGUGAAAUGCGUAGAGAUGUGGAGGAACACCAGUGGCGAAGGCGACUCUCUGGUCUGUAACUGACGCUGAGGAGCGAAAGCGUGGGGAGCGAACAGGAUUAGAUACCCGGGUAGUCCCUGUCUCUUAUAC
rnacentral:rRNA from 1 species